GCACAGCACAUUCCUGAAGGACCUUGACCUAGAUUCUCCCACCGUAGUUGGUUAUUGUCUUCAGAAGGAGAGUAAAAAGAAUGCUGGGUAGAAGAAAUACCUGAAGAAAUAAUGGCCCAACCUCAAAUUUGGUGAAAGACAUAAACUUACAGAUUCAAGAAACUGAGUGUUCCCCAAACAGAAUAAACUUUAAAGAAUCCACACUCAAACACAUCAUAAUCAAACUUCUGAAAACUAACAACAAAGAAAAACUUAAAAUCAGCAAGAGAGAAACCACACAUUAUCAACUGAUGAAAAGUGACUCAAGUGACAGCAGAUUUAUAAUCAGAAACUUGAAGGACAGAAGGAAGAGGCAAAACAUUUUGAAAGCCCUAAAAGGAAAGAACUGUCAACCCAGAAUUCGACAUCCAGUAAAAAUAUCCGUCAAGAAUGAAUAUGAAGGAAAGCUAAGAAUGAAUAUAUCUUCUAUUUCUUUGCUAAAUUUUUCUACUUUUUCAUUUGAUGUAAGAGUGUUUAUAAGUGCUUAUGGAGCAUUUUUAUGAUAGUUGGUUUACAAUCCUUGUCUGAGAGUAGCUAUGUGAGAUGACGUAUAUAGUAAAUGGUGACUGUAGUAACCAUUUCACUACAUAUAAGUAUGUCAAAACAUGUUGUACACCUUAAAUAUACACAAAAAAUAGCUCUGACACAAAAAAUGCAUAGUUGUUAUUACCAUGUAUAAAUAAAAAUACUUGUAAGUUUAGAAAAUAAAAUCAUUGUCUGAUAAUUAUCUAAAUAAUAAAGUCCA
rnacentral:lncRNA from 10 species